GACGAACGCUGGCGGCGCGCCUAACACAUGCAAGUCGAACGGAGCGGCGAGAAGCUUGCUUUUCUUAGCUUAGUGGCGAACGGGUGAGUAACGCGUGAGUAACCUGCCCUGGAGUGGGGGACAACAGUUGGAAACGACUGCUAAUACCGCAUAAGCCCACGAUCCGGCAUCGGCUAGAGGGAAAAGGAUUUAUUCGCUUCAGGAUGGACGCGCGUCCAAUUAGCUAGUUGGUGAGGUAACGGGCCACCAAGGCGACGAAUGGUAGCCUGACUGAGAGGUUGAACGGCCACAUUGGGACUGAGACACGGCCCAGACUCCUACGGGAUGCAGCAGUGGGUGAUAUUGCACAAUGGCGGAAACCCUGAUGCAGCGACGCCGCGUGGAGGAAGAAGGUUUUCGGAUUGUAAACUCCUGUUGUUAGUGACGAUAAUGACGGUACCUAACAAGAAAGCACCGGCUAACUACGUG
rnacentral:rRNA from 1 species